UACCGCGGUUAUACGAGAGGCCCAAGUUGUAAGACAUCGGCGUAAAGGGUGGUUAAGGAAAAUUAAAACUAAAGCCGAAUACUAUCAAAGCUGUUAUACGCACCCGAUAGUAAGAAGAUCAACCACGAAAGUAGCUUUAUACCCCCUGAACCCACGAAAGCUAUGAUA
rnacentral:rRNA from 1 species